AUUCGGGCGCGUGGCUUUCUUUUGCGCGGCGCUUCCGACCGCGGCGUGGCUGCGAGGGGCCGGGGAGAAGUGGGUCCCCGAGCUGGGCCUGGUGGAGCAGAGCGGACCCAGGAAGCCGCCCCCUCGGAGUUGUUGCACAUAUGCGAUGUUUGGAACAUGGAGUCUCAAAAUUUGAGGAAACAAGAAAUUUCUCUUAGAGGAUAACGAGGUAUGUUUUUAAAAGGUUGAACAUUCGUAUUGUAGAUUUUUCACCAAGAUUUCAUUUUCCAUCUGUUUUAAAACUGUUCUUAACUUAAUGGAUCAGUAAUCGAAUGGAACAGAUUUCCAGGAGAAAUGGGAAGAUGCACUUAAAGGUUUGACAAGUGUAUAGAAGGCAAUGUCUUGUAUUUUCCUGAAUUGUGUUUAUAAUAAAGAAGUACCUUAACCUUG